rnacentral:rRNA from 1 species
GAUUGAACGCUGGCGGAAUGCUUUACACAUGCAAGUCGAACGGCAGCACGGGUGCUUCACCUGGUGGCGAGUGGCGAACGGGUGAGUAAUAUAUCGGAACGUAUCCAAUAAUGGGGGAUAACGAGUCGAAAGAUUCGCUAAUACCGCAUACGCCCUACGGGGAAAGCGUGGGGAUCUUCGGACCUAGCGUUAAUGGAGCGGCCGAUAUCUGAUUAGCUAGUUGGUGGGGUAAAGGCCCACCAAGGCUACGAUCAGUAGCUGGUCUGAGAGGACGACCAGCCACACUGGAACUGAGACACGGUCCAGACUCCUACGGGAGGCAG